ACUGAUGGUCGGUCGAGUGGCAAGGACACUUGACUCUCACCCAAAACUCCCAGGUUCGAAUCCCGGCCGUGGCA